AUCCGGCUGACGAGUACCAAAUAGGACGAAACGCGUGUCCUCGAU
rnacentral:hammerhead_ribozyme from 1 species